GGGCGGGGUUAGUGCUUAUAGCUUUAAUUGCACGCUUCAGUCGUAUAUAGAUAGAUAGAGAGAUAGACAGACAGACACAGCGAGACAGACAGAUAGAUAGAUAGAUAGACACACAGACAGACACACAGACAGAUAGAUCGAUCACGUUAUUAAUCCCAGAGGGAAAAUACUGUCAGGUCCAAAAGCCUCAAGACUCUAAUAAUUGUUCCGAUUUUUUUUUAGCCAGUAAUUUAAAUCAGAGUUCAUUUAUUUAUUUAUGUUAUGCAUAUAUUAGGUGACCUCUAAGGGAAUCCACAUAAAGCAAGAAUAAAUGAGUAUAAAUAAAAACAAGAGCGAUGUAGCGCGGUUGAGAUAAAACGGCCAGUUAAUUACCCGUAUGUUUACGUUAAGCUUUAGUGAAACUUGAACACAUUCGAGUCCCUUACUGAGACCUGAUCUCAAGUUUAAUCAGGUGCUAAACUUUGAUGGAAAACCGUCUAGCUGUGAUGAGUGAUUACGGGGUCCAAGCACUGCAGUACGCGGCGUAUUUUGUUAGUGUGAUCGUGUUUGAUUUGGUAUCCUCCUUGAUGCUGAUUCCAACUUACUUUAUUAAUCCUUACGGAGAAAAGGUUUCCAUGAUCAUGUUAGUUGAUUCCUUAAUCACAGCGCCACCUAGAGGAAUGACAGCACUUACAGUACAGUAUAUGCGACUCUAACCUACCUAAAAUAAUCCGAUGUCCGCACGAAUAUCACUCUAAUAUUAUCGGAUUCUUUUUUUUCUUCUUUCUUUCUUUUUUCCAGCACGAAUUCAAUUUAACGAUCACACCAAAUUCAUACCGGAAGCGAAAAACAUAAAUAAAUCAAACGAUACAGACUGCCGGCGGAUAUAUUUCUGUAUCAUCUCCUGUACCUUUGGUGCUUGGAGCGCUGGAAUUUUAAGUCCAGUUCUGUGUGGUCUCGUUUCUGCUUCCUGGUUCCUCUCAGGAGGACGGCAAACUCGCGCGACGGCUGUAAAUAAGCUCGGAAACGUAAACACGCUAAUGGACAGGGACACCAUUUCCAAAAGCUCACUUUGAAGCGCGCGUGUGUUUACGUGAGCCGGUUUUCUGCACUAGGACAUUUUACAGAGAGGAAAGUGAGCUGCUUCAAUCCCCGGUGCACUUUAUUUUAUUUAUUUAUUAUUUUUUUUCUGAAACGUUCAGGGUUAUUUAUUUAUUAUUAUUUAUUUUUACGGCUCUCUCACCGUCCGAUCUUUAAUAUUACGGCCCACAGAGGUGCGGCGAUGACUCGGCCCUUUACACUAACUCAGACCUUCUAAUAAAAGAGGAUUUAUUUGCUUCCCCGUCAGUCGAGCACAGAGCCGAGGAGAGCGGAGGAGAGCGGAUGGAGCGCGACUCUCUUUCUCCUCACGCUCUUAACUCUCACGUUUACACUGAGCACGGAGUGAAUUUUGUGUAGGAGCUUCUUUCUGAAGGUUGAC
ensembl:lncRNA